UGUGGGUACAUUUGGAUACAUGCCUCCAGAGUAUGCUCAAUACGGCGAUGUUUCCCCCAAAAUUGAUGUAUAUGCUUUUGGAGUUGUGCUUUUUGAACUUAUAUCUGCCAAGGAAGCUGUUGUCAAGACAAAUGAAAUUAUUACCGAGUCCAAGGGACUAGUUGCUUUGUUUGAGGAUGUUCUCAGUGAGCUGGAUCCAAAAGAAGGUAUUCGUAAACUCGUUGAUCCUAGGCUUGGAGAUAACUACCCACUUGACUCGGUUUGUAAGAUGGUCCAGUUGGCUAAAGCUUGCACACAUGAAAAUCCUCAACUAAGGCCAAGUAUGAGAUCAAUUGUGGUAGCACUUAUGACUCUUUCGUCUUCAACUGAGGAUUGGGAUGUGGGUACUUUCUAUGAAAAUCAAGCUCUUGUCAAUCUAAUGUCAGGAAGGUAGCUUGUGGAUUGCAAUGUUUGUUUACACAACUUGACAGCAAGUGACUUCCAAAAUCCUUGGAUAUAUGUUCUAAAAACUCGUAAAGAAAAGGGGUUAUGUUGUAGCGGUGCCAGGGAGUAUAGGUUCUUUUGCUGAUUGCUGAUUGCUGAUUGCUGACCACUGGGUGGGUGGGUCAGGUCGAACCUCGAGUACUCGCCCUACGUAUGGCAAUCCAGUUGGGAAUAAUAAUUUUUUAAAAUUAAAAUAAAUGUAUACAUAUUUUUAUGUAAAAAAUUGUUAUAUAUAUACAUAUAUUGUUUUCUUGUAAAUUAAAUUUGAGUCAUG
rnacentral:misc_RNA from 1 species